GAUGAACGCUAGCGGCAGGCUUAACACAUGCAAGUCGAGGGGUAUAUGUCUUCGGAUAUAGAGACCGGCGCACGGGUGCGUAACGCGUAUGCAAUCGGCCUUUCACAGAGGGAUAGCCCAGAGAAAUUUGGAUUAAUACCUCAUAGUAUUAUGUUUUGGCAUCGAGAUAUAAUUAAAGUCACAACGGUGAAAGAUGAGCA
rnacentral:rRNA from 1 species